rnacentral:rRNA from 1 species
CUAUACAUGACUCUGCGCAUAUCAAAAGCGGAGGAAAAGAAACUAACAAGGAUUCCCUUAGUAACGGCGAGUGAAGCGGGAAGAGCUCAAAUUUGAAAUCUUCAAGGUUCUACCUUGACGAAUUGUAGUUUAUAGAAGUGUUUUCUGUUAGUAGAGUGGCAAAAGUUCUUUGGAAUAGGACAUCAUAGAGGGUGAGAAUCCCGUAUUUGGUCAUUCUUUCUAGCUUUGUGAUACACUUUCAACGAGUCGGAUUGUUUGGGAAUGCAGUCCAAAAUGGGUGGUAAAUUUCAUCUAAAGCUAAAUAUUGGCGAGAGACCGAUAGCGAACAAGUACCGUGAGGGAAAGAUGAAAAGAACUUUGAAAAGAGAGUUAAACAGUACGUGAAAUUGUCAAAAGGGAAGCGUUUGACACCAGUGUUGUUUUUCCGAAAAUCAAUUACGAAUGUUUUGUUUUUGAGAAGUUAUGACUUCAUCGGCUUGCUUCUCUCUUUACGAAACUUUCUUAAUGCACUUUUCGGUUAACAAGUCAACAUCAAUUUCUUUUGUUGUAAAAGGGUACGAGGAAGGUGGCUUUCUUUUCGGAGAAAGUGUUUAUAGCCUUGUACCUCUGCAAUCGGAGAGAUUGAGGUCUGCAGCGUAGAUCCUUCGGGGUUAGAUACAUUUGUGCUAAGUUAUAGCUUUUCAUAGACAACUUGUUGACUAUGUUUAGUCUUGUAGCUUACUCGCUUAUGCUAUUUUACCUACGCUUAGGAUGUUGAUAGUCACAGCGUGUAC